rnacentral:rRNA from 1 species
AGGCGGAGGAAAAGAAACCAACUGGGAUUACCUUAGUAACGGCGAGUGAAGCGGUAAAAGCUCAAAUUUGAAAUCUGGUACUUUCAGUGCCCGAGUUGUAAUUUGUAGAAUUUGUCUUUGAUUAGGUCCUGUCUAUGUUCCUUGGAACAGGACGUCAUAGAGGGUGAGAAUCCCGUUUGGCGAGGAUACCUUUUCUUUGUAAGACUUUUUCGAAGAGUCGAGUUGUUUGGGAAUGCAGCUCAAAGUGGGUGGUAAAUUCCAUCUAAAGCUAAAUAUUGGCGAGAGACCGAUAGCGAACAAGUACAGUGAUGGAAAGAUGAAAAGAACUUUGAAAAGAGAGUGAAAAAGUACGUGAAAUUGUUGAAAGGGAAGGGCAUUUGAUCAGACAUGGUGUUUUUUGCAUGCACUCGCCUCUCGUGGGCUUGGGCCUCUCAAAAAUUUCACUGGGCCAACAUCAAUUUUGGCAGCAGGAUAAAUCAUUAAGAAUGUAGCUACUUCGGUAGUGUUAUAGCUUUUUGGAAUACUGUUAGCCGGGAUUGAGGA